ACCUUCUUCUUUAAGCUCUGUGCUAAAAUAGCAGAACCUAGUGUCUAAGUAUUUGUAAUAAAGCUAAGCAUCAUAAACACAAGAAGAAAAACAACAGUACAGUACAAGGUAGUAGAAAAACUAAGAAGAACAAUUAUUUUUUUAAGUCCAAGUUACUUUGUUCUAAGAUUUGGUACAAUAAUA